GUCCAUAUGAAUUUUUACUUUUUAUUUUCUACUUCAAAUUUGUCUGUAAUUUUCGAUUCAGACAUUUGGGGCAAUAUACUAAAAUAUAUAUGUUGUGCCUGAAUUAGAUAAUUAGUAUGCAGGCAGGCAAGAAGGAAUUAUAAAAUUUUAAAUAGCUUCUGUUAGCCUAUAUCUAAAGAAUACAAUUUAUUCCCCAAGUAUUUGUUUUUUAUAUGAGACUCUUACCAUAUUCUGCUAAAUCUGUGUGUAUGUGUACGUGUGUGUACACAUAUAUAUAUAAUUUAGCAAUGUAAGGCUAUUAUUUGCUUCUAAACUUGGAUUGCAGUAGUUUUAUUUUGUGUGAAAAUAGCAUAUAUCUAAAACUUAAAAAUUUACACUAGUGUGUGUCAUUAGCAUCUCCUAAAAAAAAAAAAAAAAAAAUACCCAGAGCAGCAGCAGAUCUUUUUCCUUGUUGGCUUCACUACUGGUAGAGUCAUUUUUAGUAAGGUAAUACAGAACAUCUAAUUCAAGAAUAUGACUUCCCAUAAAUACUGAAGAAGAAUUCAAAGCUACCAAUUGGGGAAAGAGCUUUUUAUAAAGCAGUGUAAAAACUUACAAAUUACCUAGAAAACAGAACAUCCUGCAGAAAACUCUAACUAGAAAACAUUCAAAAUGGAAUUCUUUACUGCACUUGCAUGCUAACCUGUCUCAUCAUCCCACCAUAUCUGCUUCUUUUCCUCCUCAGACAACCCCAGAUAACAGCAUAGAGAGCCCAGACACCCUUAAACUCCAUGUAAGCUCAUGUUAAAUACAGCCAGAGGGUGAUUAACUCAUGAAUCCCCAAGUGUGUUCUCAGAUCAUCCACAGGAACCAGAAAGCAGUGAACUUUUCCAAAUGCACAGAAACAGAAGCAGAAAGCAAGUGAUUUAAUCAAAACACAACAGAGGUUAAAGCAAGGUCUGCCUACCUAGUUGGCUGGAUGGACUGAGGAGGGGCAGGUUCAGAACCCACUGGGAAAGCUCCUAUACAAGGAGGAGUCAGUCAGGACAGGGGCAGUCCUCAGUGGUCUGAACAAGGAGAAGCAGAAAGAGGCACUGAGGGCCAGUGUUCUGCCUGAGAAAGCAGAAGCUCGAGGCUACACAGUACACAGUUUGUUCAGAGGCCUCCCACUUCAGACUGGUUUCCCGCUAAGAAGAAAAAAAAGACACCUACCCUUCAUUUGCUGAUACACUGGCAGCAACCUGUUUAAAUCAGGAGUGUGAAUGCUACACUGCAUGUCAGGGUGGAAAACAGCGAUGAUCUUCCAUAGGGCUGAGAAGAUGAAAAACACUAA